GAUGAAGAACGUAGCGAAAUGCGAUAAGUAGUGUGAAUUGCAGAAUUCAGUGAAUCAUCGAAUCUUUGAACGCAACUUGCGCUCUCUGGUAUUCCGGAGAGCAUGCCUGUUUGAGUAUCAUGAAAUCUCAACCAUUAGGGUUUCUUAAUGGCUUGGAAUUGGGUGUUGCCAGUCGCCUGGCUCGCCUUAAAAGAGUUAGCGUGUUUAACUUGUCUAUCUGGCGUAAUAAGUUUCGCUGGUGUCGGCUUGAGAAGUACGCUUCUAAUCGUCUUCGGACAAUUCUUGAACUCUGGUCUCAAAUCAGGUAGGGCUACCCGCUGAACUUAAGCAUAUCAAUAAGCGGAGGA
rnacentral:misc_RNA from 1 species